AUGUGGGGAUUUGGGGUGCACACCCAGCCAGGGCCUCGCGCUCGCUCUUUGCUGUGCUCUGAGGGUCGCUGUCAAUUUUUGGCCCCUUGGUGCCCUUCUCGGGCCUCAGCUGCUCUCAUCCAUCGCUGGCUGUGUUCAGCGCGGCGCUCAGCUCCCUCGGCUUCGAAGGACGCAGCGUGUGGUCCGCUCCGCGGCUGCCAUGGCAACGGUGGGAUGCAAAACCAUGGUUUAAAACCCAAAACAAAUAAAUCCUCCACACCACAAAGCCCAAAGCAUCCUUCUCGCCUUGCUUCCCCCAGCCCAUUUUGUUUUCCCCUCUUGGGACCCGACGAGGAGCUGGUGCUGCCAGGCAAUGACUGCAGUGUCCUGGGUUCCUCCGUGUGCCCAUCUCCUGAGGCCAUGUCUCAGGCAGACACUGCUCUCCCGUUUCCCCUGGCUUCAGCCCUGCUCCUGCUCGAGGCUUUCGGGGGGGCCCCGCCUCGAGCUGCUGAAGGUCAGAGCGGCUGCUGCCUUCCGCCGGGGCCGCCUCCGGAGAGUAAACAAUAAUUAACCUUAAAUUAAAACUGGUUGUAAUCUUUGAUUACCCGCCUGGUUGUGCGAUGUGCCAAAGCCCAUUUUGUUUCUGGUUUCCUUGGAGAUACCACCCGGUCUCCCCACCCCCUUCCAGCUCUGGCUUUUUUAAAGCAGGUUUAAAAACAGCUAUUAGGAGAGCUUGUUAAUCAUCAUACCAGGCUGCUAAUAGCACUCUGGCCACAGUUAAUCACGGAGAGCUGCAAAGAUGCUGCAAAUGCUUUCGGUGGAUGUAAUUUCCCCCCUACAUUCCUCCCUUCCAUCGCGUCCCCCUUCCCUUUUUCGCAGAAGCCUCUUCUCCACCCGAGGUGGGAAAUUUGGCUGCACGGUGCUGCUUGCUUGUUGGUUUUUUUUAUUUUGUUUUAUUUUCCUCCGUUGGUUUGCUGGCGGUGGCACCUCCGCUGAAGCAGGGGAGCACCGAGCCCGCUUUGCCAUGCAGCCGAGCAGCAGCAGCGCUUUCCCGUUGGGUUUUGAGGGAUUUGGGGCUGUGCCCCAGGAGCUGGGGGGCUCAAGGUGGAGCUGAGGUGUCUCUGGGUCCGUUAACAGCAGGUUAUGGCUGCAGCCUCCUCCUUCCUCCAGCAUCACGGGAACUUCUUUAUACUCACCAAUGUCCCCCAUUUCAGAACUGCCAUCAGUGAGCUUGCAGCAGCCCUCUCACCGAGGAAAUAAGUAGAAGGGGGCGAAGCAGGAGGUAACGCACACGUUUCUGGGCUGCCUUCAUUGCUGGAGCAUCCUCCUCCUCCUCCCUGGAGCUCCUCCAGGUUCGUGCUGCUGUAGGCGGAGGCAAGUUUGGCCUCCAAGGCCUCGAAUUUGUAAAUCAGUUCGGCAUGUUGUUUUAUUCUCCACGUUAAGCAGUUGCUUAAGCGCUCGGCUGUGCGAGGCCAGAACAGCGGGCCGGUGCCGUAAUCGAUAGCUCCAUGGAGACGGGAGGUGCAGCAUUGCCUUGGCUGGUGUAAAUCAGGAGUGGGACCGGGGGGGGGGUCGAGCCUCCAAAACUCGCUGGCCCCGGCGCCCCCCGUGCUGCUCCGGCCCCAUUUGGAGGCGUUUGAGCGGGGCGACCCCGCCUGCGCGCAAAUUGCGGCUCUGGCUGCUCCUGCUGAAAUGACAGAUAGGGGACAGUCCUGCUAGUUGACAAUAAUUGUUCUCCUAAUUACAGCAAUGACAUUUACUGGAAAGCCACUGCAAUCCCAUUACCUUCUUAUGCUAAAUUCUGCGACUUCAGAAUUGCAUUCCCUGCCUCCUUCCCCCGGUCUGGAACCCUCUGGGCACGGCCUUGUUUGCUGCAUCUGCGACCACACGACUGGGUUUGGGGUUAUGCUGCGGGGGCACUGGUAUUUUGGGGGUUUGUUAUCCCUUUGCCUAGCUGGGCGAUGCUGGGUGAUGCAGCGCCUGUGGAGGACCCAACUUCCACCCCAAAAGGGGACAGAGGCACCCAGGGUCCCCACAAGAUCAGGGGACACCCGCUGGCACCCCGAGGGACUUCUACAGCAUUUCCCUUUCCGAAUCGCAGGUAGCCCGCUCGAGCCUGUGUGUUCUCAUUCUCCAGCCAUAAACAAGCGGAAGGUGCCUGGGAAUAAUUAAUUUUUAAGACCCUUAAUAUUUUAUAAAUGGUUGUAAUGAGCCGAUGUUCUGUUUUGUUUAGCUGUUUAUGUGUCGUUAAGUCGUGAGGCUGCGAACAAGAUGCUUUAAUUUAAUAUGUUGCCCUCAGAAAUAUCUUUUAAUAAAUAAAGCGCUCUAGUUCUUCUCUGGAGAGCC
ensembl:lncRNA